GGCCCCGUAACUCAGUUGGCUAGAGCGUUUGGCUGUACUAAAGCCUUCCCCUUGCUGGCGUGGGUUCGAAUCCCAUCGAUGCCG
rnacentral:tRNA from 1 species